UUAAGAAAACAAAAACCUAACGAUCCUGAUUCCAUUUCCACGGCCAAGUAACGCACCGGAGAUGUCAUUAAUUGACGAAAACCCACUAACCCCACGAUCCAUCUUUAUUCACAGUGAGUAUAUAUGAACCUUCAGAUUGUCCUCUCCUGUUCCUCUACUUUUAGCCGUUCGAAAAUCUCUGAAACUCUCACAGAAGCUUUCCAAUAGUGUCAAAUUCACAGAUUCACUUCUCCGACUUGAAGGCCGGCCCGCGUUUAGACCAGACUCCGGAGGUCAGUUGAUGGCCGUCGAUAUGCUCCUUAUUGAUGCCAAGGUAAAUUGCUUUCAUAAGUUUAAUUAUGCUUCAGACACGGCUUCAGAUUUUGAUUACUCCCAAAUUGAUAACCCGUGUUUUUGAAGAAGUGAAAGUUGGUUCUUAACUCCAUGAGCAAGUGAGUUAGUUUAGGAGGCAGCUCCGGUCCAUGUCUGCACUUCUGAAGGUGAUUAUUUUUGAGCCUACUUAACAUAUUAUAUUCUUACAUUAGGUUGUUAGUGUCACAUAAUAGGCCGAGAGAUCUUGGGCCUAUUGACACUGGCGAUUGAGAUCUUAAUAGAUUGUUAUAGAUUUGGUACCAACAAUGACGUAUUUCAUCUUGUGGGAUGGUAAUCCUAUUUUUCCUUUUAUGAGAUUAAAAAUAUUAACGAGCGUUUAUGGAUAUGAUAAUCAACCAGCGAACAAAAUUCCGAGCUAAGUAUUAGGACAGUGGUGAAGACAUUGACAUUGUCGUCUCCAGCUCCCAAACAAACGAAGGUUUGUAUUAUAUGUCAGACUUAUUGUCAUGUAUUUUAUAUAUCUUGCUACGUCAAUCUCAGUCUCUCUUAAUCAAUAUUAGAUUCUGAUGUUUGGAGUCUCCAUAUUUAAGUUCUCUUUAUGCCUUAUCCAAACUUGCUGUUGUUUGUUGAAAAAUCAAAUGUUGUGCUAUUGUUUUACUUUAGCUGUUUUGGUUGUAAGUGACGAUAUGGUUGCACAUGUGACAAAAUUAACUUUAUAAGAUGAUGCUCUCUGUUUGAGUAAAAUAUUUUUUUGUUCCUGGUUAAACUAUUAGAAAAGUUUAUUAGAGUCUGAUGAAUAUUUCAGGGAGCUUAGUGUAGUGUCUUGCCUACAUGUCGUACCAAAGAAUAAACCUGAGUAGGUGAAGACGUAUCUGAUACAUAUUUGUUUACAACUUACACUAUGAUAAUUACUGAUUAGGGAUGCACUUUGACAGAGUGGGAAUUACAAUCAGGAGAUGAUAUGUCAGGUGCUGGAGCAGUUAGAAGGAGCCACAUUACGAGAAACAAUCACAUAACACUCCUUUACAAACUUUCAAUUACUUAGUAGCUAUGCAGUCAAAUUUUAUUUUUGUAAUCCUCUGUUAUACUAUUCCGACCAUUCUAAUAUAAUGUUUCAUAAUUACAAAACAAGUUCGUAGGUCUUUUACCA
rnacentral:lncRNA from 1 species